CAAUAUUCUCUAUACACUUGAAUACAUAAUGUAAAAAAUGCAAGCAUGCUAUUGAAAAACAUAACAAACUUCUCUUCAUCUAAUUCAUAGUGAAAUUAAUGAUAUUUCAUGAUGCCCUUGUACUAAGCUUUAGUGUCAUGUGCUGCUCACCCCAACCCUCAUUACUCUUAACAAUUGCAAGUCUUUUUUUAUGCAGUAAUCCAAUAGUAAGCCAAAGAAUUAGUGACAAUCUUUAGAAAAUUGCAAGUCCUACAUUUGUAGAAUGCAAUCUUCAAAGAAUUUGUAAGCCAAAGUAGAUAUGACACAAAAGAGAGAGAGAGAGAGAGAGAGAGUAAAAAAGAGGAUUGUAAAUGUCUCUGCACUUCUUUUGUCAAAGAAUUAAUAAAGGCCUCUGCACUUCUUUUGUCAAAGAAUCUGCUGGUUAUUCUUUACUAGUAAUAAGAGGAAUAUAAAUGUCCAUUUUCUAUUUUCUUCUUGAUAAGGUGUCUAUACUUUGAGCAUUUGAUUUUGAUCUAAAACUUCUUUAAUCACAUUUUUAUUGUAGUAUGCUUCCAAAGAUUUACCUAUUUUGUUUAUUAUUCUAUUGUAAGUGCCAAAUUCUAAAGUUCUCCCACAUUUAUGUCUGUAACCAUAAGAUUGUGGCUAUAUAUAUAACCUUCGAAGUUCUAUUUAAUAGGUUUAACAUUUCUUAGUAUGUGCAAUGCACCUUAUAUGCCAUGUCCCUAACCACAAAAUUGCCUGGUAUUACUUCAAUUAGUCAAAUUAUCAUGAUAGGAUUCUCGUAGGUCUAGACAGGAAUUAUCCUAUAAAUAUUAUACACAUUCGUCCUGGAGGAUUCAGGCCCGAAGUCAACAGGAUCCUCAGUUACAUUAUCGACUAGAGCAACUUUAAUGUCAGUACCUUCUUUUCCUUUAAUUUCCCUCCCUGUAUAAACUAGAUCAUCGUUUUAAGUCCUCACCAAUUUUGGGAAACCAACUUUUCUACUGCUGAUUGAAUCUCAUCGUUUAUCUAGAAAGAAAUUGGAAAAGUGAUAAGUAUUUAUAUUGCUAUGGUAAGAAAAGUUUUUAACUAAGAUAAGCUAAAUAGGUCUUUGUUCUCUACCCGAACUGAGAAUGUGUCCCAACUAGAAAAUGUCUAACAUAGCAUUGUUAAUGAAAUAAUAAAAAAUAAAAACUAGCUUUUCUUCACCUGUCCCUUUUCCCUAUUAUCCCCUACCCUCACCAACAUGCUAGAUGUCAUUAGAAGAUGCAUUGUUGGCACUCACCUUCCAAAUUGAAUCAUCUAUAAUAGGUUCUAUAACUUGCUAAAAAGAAUGAAUCCCCACUUUUAGAAUACAAUCCUCCACAAAAGCGAUCAAAAGCAGAAAACGGGUAAAGAAAAGAGCAAAAUUGCCAUAAAGAACAAGAAUGAAUCCCCACUUUCAGAAUACAAUUCUCCACAAACGCGAUCAAAAGCCUAAAAGCAGAAAAGGGGUAAAGAAAAGAGCAAAAUUGCCAUAAAGAACAAGAAAUAAUCAAAAUAAAAUACCAAACAUAAUGCAAUUUCAACAAGUAUAGGUGGUGUUCGCAUAUUUUUUAUAUUGAGAAAACUACCUCCCUCCUUCACCUGCACUAGUAUAGGUGGCUUUAGUUUCUACACCUUGUCAUAACAUGGUUUUGA
rnacentral:lncRNA from 1 species